AUCUAUCUAUCUAUCUAUCUAUCUGGCUUGCUGUCUGUCUUUUGGUACGUAGUUUGAUUGUUUGAUGCUAAAUCAUUAAAAGGGCGCUAUAGCCUCAAUGAGUUGAUUCUCUUUCUCAAGAAACUCACAAGCUGGCAACAGACAAGCUUGAAAAAAAAACAAAAAAUAAAUAAAUUCACAAACUGUAGGACUAGAAUAGACCUCAUGGCAUAAUCAACUAGAAAGAUUUAGAUUAAGUUCAAUGUAGAGUAUCAUGGAUAACAAUGUCUUCAUGGCGAAGU